AAAAAGGAAUAAAAAUACUAAAAAGUUUUCGUUAUUAUAAACCCGUGUCACGUGAUGUCUCCUCAAUCUGGCGCGAGAGUCGCGCGCUGGACCUACCUGAAAUAAGAUAAAAACUUUCCAAACUAAACAUGAAACUUCUCCGGUAACAUAAUAAUAUAGACCCUUUACAAAAACAAACAAACAAACAAACAAACAAACAAACA
rnacentral:lncRNA from 1 species